UACGGAGGGUGCAAGCGUUGUUCGGAAUUAUUGGGCGUAAAGCGCACGUAGGCGGCUCUUUAAGUCUGUCUGUGAAAGCCUGCGGCUCAACCGCAGGAGGCCAGGGGAUACUGGAGAGCUGGAGACAGGUAGAGGCGAGCGGAAUUCCGGGUGUAGCGGUGGAAUGCGUAGAGAUCCGGAAGAACACCAGAGGCGAAGGCGGCUCGCUGGACCUGUUCUGACGCUGAGGUGCGAAAGCGUGAGGAGCGAGCAGG
rnacentral:misc_RNA from 1 species